rnacentral:rRNA from 1 species
CUACGGGGUGCUGCAGUGGGGAAUAUUGGACAAUGGGGGCAACCCUGAUCCAGCCAUGCCGCGUGUGUGAAGAAGGCCUUAGGGUUGUAAAGCACUUUCAGAUGUGAGGAAAGGUGUGUGCUUAAUACGUACAUACUGUGACGUUAGCAUCAGAAGAAGGACCGGCUAACUCCGUGCCAGCAGCCGCGGUAAUACGGAGGGUCCGAGCGUUAAUCGGAAUUACUGGGCGUAAAGCGCGCGUAGGUGGUUUCGUCAGUCAGAUGUGAAAGCCCCGGGCUCAACCUGGGAAUUGCACCUGAUACUGCGGAACUAGAGUACGAUAGAGGGGAGUGGAAUUUCCGGUGUAGCGGUGAGAUGCGUAGAGAUCGGAAGGAACACCAGUGGCGAAGGCGACUCCCUGGAUUGAUACUGACACUGAGGUGCGAAAGCGUGGGGAGCAAACAGGAUUAGAUACCCCCGUAGUC